rnacentral:rRNA from 1 species
UACGGGGGGGGCAAGCGUUGUUCGGAAUUACUGGGCGUAAAGGGCUCGUAGGCGGCCAACUAAGUCAGACGUGAAAUCCCUCGGCUUAACCGGGGAACUGCGUCUGAUACUGGAUGGCUUGAAUCCGGGAGAGGGAUGCGGAAUUCCAGGUGUAGCGGUGAAAUGCGUAGAUAUCUGGAGGAACACCGGUGGCGAAGGCGGCAUCCUGGACCAUUACUGACACUGAAUAGCGAAAGCCAGGGGAGCAAACGGG